CCAUAAGCAACGACGGGAACGAGUAGCGGACUGUCUCCCUGUUCCAGAGAGCCGGCGGCUGGUGCGAGCCGGUACAAAGGCAGACGUGAAUUACCUCCCUGAGCUUUCUUUGUGAACCUUCAAGUAGCAAAGAACGGGAAGCCGUUACCGGAAAUUGAGCGGAAGAUGAAGGUCUUCAAUCAGGGUGGUACCGCGUGCAUUUGAGCCACGUCCCUUAU
rnacentral:ncRNA from 1 species